CCUGAACCGGCGACUGGACGCGGUGGAGGCGUGGGAUUCGGAGGCCGGGACCCCAAGCUCUGCGCUGGAGGCGUCAGGAGCCGCGAGGUCAUCCGGUCUCAACCUCAGGCGCCCCUGUGCAGGCCUCCCUACACUCCUCAAGCUGCGCUCCCUACUCGUGCCACAUCCCUUGUUCCAUUUUAACCUAGAAAUGGAAAGGUGGAGAAAAGCACAUUGUGGUGAAGAUGUGAGGGAAAAGAGGAACAGUACCCAGCAGUAUCAUCAACAUCUUCUGCUCCAGCUACAGAACUCCAAGUCCUUCUAGAAGCUUUCCUCGGGCAUCCCCAUAACAGCCCAACCCUGGAUCCAUUCUUAGGCCCAAUUCAGCCUCAUGGGGAAGAGUCUUCCUCCUUCCUUGCUCCCUGAGUUUCUUUUCAAAGCAACUUUUAUCUACGUAUUUACUGCAAAAGUUUAAAGUCUCAGAACCAAGGAAAACUGAAACUGCAAGGCCCUUUCUACACAGCAAAGGGAGGCCAGUGCUGGGUGGUAUACUUCAAAUGGCAACCUUUGGCCCCUCAAGGCUAAACUAAAACGUAAUUUUCCUCACCUUAGAGCUGAAAAUGAGAUUUAAUUUUGUGGCUUCCUGGCUGUGAAGUUGGCCUGUUUUUCUAGACUAUAUAUAUAAAAUGUUCAU
rnacentral:lncRNA from 1 species